rnacentral:misc_RNA from 1 species
AAGUCGUAACAAGGUUUCCGUAGGUGAACCUGCGGAAGGAUCAUUAACACGUAUCCAACGUUAAACCCCCCGUGCACCUUCACAGAGCGCGCUGCUCCUCUCGACGUCAGCAAUCCUGGUAAAUCAGUGGCGAAAGUAGUCUUUGAUUCAGGACCUCUGAAGUUGUAAGCAGGCAGUUUGAGCCUUCUAUCGCCAGUCUGGAGUCCUGGCCGGGCGGAUGAAAGUGUCGCUAGACGGUUUCUAGGACAUAGCAAGUGCGCCGUGGUAGAGGAAAACGUACAACUGUUAACAAUGGAUAUCUUGGUUCUC